GACGAACGCUGGCGGCGUGCUUAACACAUGCAAGUCGAACAGAAAGGCCCUGCUUUUGUGGGGUGCUCGAGUGGCGAACGGGUGAGUAACACGUGAGUAACCUGCCCUUGACUUUGGGAUAACUUCAGGAAACUGGGGCUAAUACCGGAUAGGAGCUCCUGCUGCAUGGUGGGGGUUGGAAAGUUUCGGCGGUUGGGGAUGGACUCGCGGCUUAUCAGCUUGUUGGUGGGGUAGUGGCUUACCAAGGCUUUGACGGGUAGCCGGCCUGAGAGGGUGACCGGCCACAUUGGGACUGAGAUACGGCCCAGACUCCUACGGGAGGCAGCAGUGGGGAAUAUUGCACAAUGGGCGGAAGCCUGAUGCAGCAACGCCGCGUGCGGGAUGACGACCUUCGGGUUGUAAACCGCUUUCGCCUGUGACGAAGCGUGAGUGACGGUAAUGGGUAAAGAAGCACCGGCUAACUACGUG
rnacentral:rRNA from 1 species